rnacentral:tRNA from 1 species
GACUUCUCAGCUUAGUGGUAGAGUGCGUGGCUUUUAACCACAUGGGCGUGGGUUUGAUCCCCACAGACGGUG